AGGGUGCGUAGGUGGCCUGAUAAGUCAGGGGUGAAAGACGGUAGCUUAACUAUCGCAGUGCCCUUGAUACUGCCGGGCUUGAAUGAACUAGAGGUAGGCGGAAGUGUGACAAGUAGCGGUGAAAUGCAUAGAUAUGUCACAGAACACCAAUUGCGAAGGCAGCUUACUAUGGUUAGAUUGACACUGAGGCACGAAAGCGUGGGGAUCAAACAGGAUUAGAUACCCCCUGU
rnacentral:rRNA from 1 species